rnacentral:rRNA from 1 species
GACGAACGCUGGCGGCGUGCCUAAUACAUGCAAGUAGAACGCUGAAGGAAGGAGCUUGCUCUUUCUGGCUGAGUUGCGAACGGGUGAGUAACGCGUAGGUAACCUGCCUGGUAGCGGGGGAUAACUAUUGGAAACGAUAGCUAAUACCGCAUAAAAUUGAUUAUUGCAUGAUAGUCAAUUAAAAGGUGCAACUGCACCACUACCAGAUGGACCCGCGUUGUAUUAGCUAGUUGGUGGGGUAACGGCUCACCAAGGCGACGAUACAUAGCCGACCUGAGAGGGUGAUCGGCCACACUGGGACUGAGACACGGCCCAGACUCCUACGGGAGGCAGCAGUAGGGAAUCUUCGGCAAUGGACGGAAGUCUGACCGAGCAACGCCGCGUGAGUGAAGAAGGGUUUCGGAUCGUAAAGCUCUGUUGUAAGAGAAGAACGAGUGUGAGAGUGGAAAGUUCACACUGUGACGGUAUCUUACCAGAAAGGGACGGCUAACUACGUG